CAUGCGCGCAGUGCGCUUUGGGCUGUUCGGUAUGCAAGCCGCCGCCGCUGCUCGCCCGCCGUUCGUCUCCACGAUGGAGCUUCUAGAAACCGCACCAGCCGCCGCGACCGCGCGCCUGCCUGCUCCCGGCGUCCCCCGUUCCCAUCGCGCGUUACGGGCGCCAGCCUCCUACACCGCGACGCACUGCACUGGCCGUGAGAGACCGGCAGGCCUGGAACUUUGGAUCGAUCGCAUUGUGCUGCCGGGUGGUUGCUUAGUCUAGACCUGGAGUCGCAGCGGCGAACAGAUUGUCAAACCGAGAGGCAGCAUGGACGGUAUCUCUCUGCAGAGUUGAAGACAGGAAGGUUAGGAGGAAUAAAUUAGUACACGAUACUCUUGAAAUAAAGCUCUUGCUUCUAUGCAUGCCAACACAUGUGCCAUACACAUUCAGGUAUAUCUACAUGCAUUUAAUCAGUGGCGAUUCUAUGUUCAGGCUGUGGGAAAAACAGCCUAAAAUUACUGUAUACUAUGCAGAAAAUAAUCUAAAAAAUUAGCAAUGACCCCACAGGAUAUUCCGGCUGCCUUCGCCGUUGCAUUUAAUUAGCUAGCUUUUUCAUGUGUAUCUGAACAUGCAUGCCCUUAAGCCAGUAGGUACACAUGUGGUUUCUUUUUCAGCCUAUCCUGGCCUACAGUCUAUAAGCCAAGCAGGAAUAUUAACAAUCACAGAAUGACAAAACAGAUCUUGAAAGGUAUUGUGAAGAGUACGUACAAAGUUCCUGGUACGGCAACUUCCCUGGACAACCAGGUUUGUCAUGUUACCAAUGAGAGGAGAGGAUGCAGACUUACAGAAAUUAGUUUGGUGCACCUUAUCCAGUAGUAGUUCAAUCGGAUAUCCUUUUCAAGCCUAGAGGGGCCAAUUUACCUUAGUAAUUUUCAGUUCUCUUAUUUUUCAAGUUUCAUAUAAGAGAACAUACCUGGCAAAUAAAGCACUGAGGCGUCGGAGACGCCAUAAUCGAA